GACGAACGCUGGCGGCGUGCUUAACACAUGCAAGUCGAACGAAGUGGCGAACGGGUGAGUAACGCGUAAUCAACCUGCUCUUCAGAGGGGUACAACAGUUGGAAACGAUUGCUAAUACCUCAUACUGAAGGUGGGGAUUGCGUCUGAUUCGCUAGCUGGAGGGGUAACGGCCCACCAAGGCGAUGACCAGUAGACUGUCUGGGGAGAUGGACGGCGACCAUGGGACUGGGGACAGGCCCAGAAUCCUACGGGAGGCAACAGUGGGGAAUCUUCCGCAAUGGACGGAAGUCUGACGGAGCAAAGCCGCGUGAGUGAUGACGGCCUUCGGGUUGUAAAGCUCUGUUAAUCGGGACGCGGUACCGGAAUAGAAAGCCACGGCUAACUACGUGCCAGCAGCCGCGGUAAUAC
rnacentral:rRNA from 1 species